rnacentral:rRNA from 1 species
UCUUUAGGGRAAAUUUAAGAUCGGACCUGCCCACUGAARUUUUAGUGAAGGGCCGCGGUAUUUUGACCGUGCUAAGGUAGCAUAAUCAUUAGUCUUUUAAUUGGGGGCUGGAAUGAAUGGUUUGACGAAAUAAAAACUGUCURUUGUUAAAAUAUUGAAUUUUAUUUUUAAGUUAAAAAGCUUAAAUGAUUGUUAGGGACGAGAAGACCCUAUAGAUCUUUAUAAGUUUAAGUUGAGUUUAAAUGUGGGAAAAGGGUAUAAUUUAAUUUAAAUUUAUUGUGUUGGGGUGACAUAAGAAGAGAUAAACUUUUUAUUAAUUUGACUAAAAUUGUGGGAAAAGUGAUCUUGAAUUUUAAAAAGGAAGAUUMAGAUACCUUAGGGAUAACAGCGUAAUUUAAUUGGAGAGUUCUUAUUGAUAAUUAAGAUUGCGACCUCGAUGUUGGAUUAAGAAAAUUAUUUAAUGCAGAAGUUAAAUGAAUAAGUCUGUUC